rnacentral:rRNA from 1 species
UUAAGCGACUAAGCGUACACGGUGGAUGCCCUGGCAGUCAGAGGCGAUGAAGGACGUGCUAAUCUGCGAUAAGCGUCGGUAAGGUGAUAUGAACCGUUAUAACCGGCGAUUUCCGAAUGGGGAAACCCAGUGUGAUUCGUCACACUAUCAUUAACUGAAUCCAUAGGUUAAUGAGGCGAACCGGGGGAACUGAAACAUCUAAGUACCCCGAGGAAAAGAAAUCAACCGAGAUUCCCCCAGUAGCGGCGAGCGAACGGGGAGGAGCCCAGAGCCUGAAUCAGUGUGUGUGUUAGUGGAAGCGUCUGGAAAGGCGCGCGAUACAGGGUGACAGCCCCGUACACAAAAAUGCACAUGCUGUGAGCUCGAUGAGUAGGGCGGGACACGUGGUAUCCUGUCUGAAUAUGGGGGGACCAUCCUCCAAGGCUAAAUACUCCUGACUGACCGAUAGUGAACCAGUACCGUGAGGGAAAGGCGAAAAGAACCCCGGCGAGGGGAGUGAAAAAGAACCUGAAACCGUGUACGUACAAGCAGUGGGAGCACGCUUAGGCGUGUGACUGCGUACCUUUUGUAUAAUGGGUCAGCGACUUAUAUUCUGUAGCAAGGUUAACCGAAUAGGGGAGCCGAAGGGAAACCGAGUCUUAACUGGGCGUUAAGUUGCAGGGUAUAGACCCGAAACCCGGUGAUCUAGCCAUGGGCAGGUUGAAGGUUGGGUAACACUAACUGGAGGACCGAACCGACUAAUGUUGAAAAAUUAGCGGAUGACUUGUGGCUGGGGGUGAAAGGCCAAUCAAACCGGGAGAUAGCUGGUUCUCCCCGAAAGCUAUUUAGGUAGCGCCUCGUGAAUUCAUCUCCGGGGGUAGAGCACUGUUUCGGCAAGGGGGUCAUCCCGACUUACCAACCCGAUGCAAACUGCGAAUACCGGAGAAUGUUAUCACGGGAGACACACGGCGGGUGCUAACGUCCGUCGUGAAGAGGGAAACAACCCAGACCGCCAGCUAAGGUCCCAAAGUCAUGGUUAAGUGGGAAACGAUGUGGGAAGGCCCAGACAGCCAGGAUGUUGGCUUAGAAGCAGCCAUCAUUUAAAGAAAGCGUAAUAGCUCACUGGUCGAGUCGGCCUGCGCGGAAGAUGUAACGGGGCUAAACCAUGCACCGAAGCUGCGGCAGCGACGCUGAUGCGUUGUUGGGUAGGGGAGCGUUCUGUAAGCCUGCGAAGGUGUGCUGUGAGGCAUGCUGGAGGUAUCAGAAGUGCGAAUGCUGACAUAAGUAACGAUAAAGCGGGUGAAAAGCCCGCUCGCCGGAAGACCAAGGGUUCCUGUCCAACGUUAAUCGGGGCAGGGUGAGUCGACCCCUAAGGCGAGGCCGAAAGGCGUAGUCGAUGGGAAACAGGUUAAUAUUCCUGUACUUGGUGUUACUGCGAAGGGGGGACGGAGAAGGCUAUGUUGGCCGGGCGACGGUUGUCCCGGUUUAAGCGUGUAGGCUGGUUUUCCAGGCAAAUCCGGAAAAUCAAGGCUGAGGCGUGAUGACGAGGCACUACGGUGCUGAAGCAACAAAUGCCCUGCUUCCAGGAAAAGCCUCUAAGCAUCAGGUAACAUCAAAUCGUACCCCAAACCGACACAGGUGGUCAGGUAGAGAAUACCAAGGCGCUUGAGAGAACUCGGGUGAAGGAACUAGGCAAAAUGGUGCCGUAACUUCGGGAGAAGGCACGCUGAUAUGUAGGUGAAGNUGGAGCUGAAAUCAGUCGAAGAUACCAGCUGGCUGCAACUGUUUAUUAAAAACACAGCACUGUGCAAACACGAAAGUGGACGUAUACGGUGUGACGCCUGCCCGGUGCCGGAAGGUUAAUUGAUGGGGUCAGCGCAAGCGAAGCUCUUGAUCGAAGCCCCGGUAAACGGCGGCCGUAACUAUAACGGUCCUAAGGUAGCGAAAUUCCUUGUCGGGUAAGUUCCGACCUGCACGAAUGGCGUAAUGAUGGCCAGGCUGUCUCCACCCGAGACUCAGUGAAAUUGAACUCGCUGUGAAGAUGCAGUGUACCCGCGGCAAGACGGAAAGACCCCGUGAACCUUUACUAUAGCUUGACACUGAACAUUGAGCCUUGAUGUGUAGGAUAGGUGGGAGGCUUUGAAGUGUGGACGCCAGUCUGCAUGGAGCCGACCUUGAAAUACCACCCUUUAAUGUUUGAUGUUCUAACGUUGACCCGUGAUCCGGGUUGCGGACAGUGUCUGGUGGGUAGUUUGACUGGGGCGGUCUCCUCCUAAAGAGUAACGGAGGAGCACGAAGGUUGGCUAAUCCUGGUCGGACAUCAGGAGGUUAGUGCAAUGGCAUAAGCCAGCUUGACUGCGAGCGUGACGGCGCGAGCAGGUGCGAAAGCAGGUCAUAGUGAUCCGGUGGUUCUGAAUGGAAGGGCCAUCGCUCAACGGAUAAAAGGUACUCCGGGGAUAACAGGCUGAUACCGCCCAAGAGUUCAUAUCGACGGCGGUGUUUGGCACCUCGAUGUCGGCUCAUCACAUCCUGGGGCUGAAGUAGGUCCCAAGGGUAUGGCUGUUCGCCAUUUAAAGUGGUACGCGAGCUGGGUUUAGAACGUCGUGAGACAGUUCGGUCCCUAUCUGCCGUGGGCGCUGGAGAACUGAGGGGGGCUGCUCCUAGUACGAGAGGACCGGAGUGGACGCAUCACUGGUGUUCGGGUUGUCAUGCCAAUGGCACUGCCCGGUAGCUAAAUGCGGAAGAGAUAAGUGCUGAAAGCAUCUAAGCACGAAACUUGCCCCGAGAUGAGUUCUCCCUGACUCCUUGAGAGUCCUGAAGGAACGUUGAAGACGACGACGUUGAUAGGCCGGGUGUGUAAGCGCAGCGAUGCGUUGAGCUAACCGGUACUAAUGAACCGUGAGGCUUAACCUU